rnacentral:rRNA from 1 species
AGGACAAACGCUGGCGGCGUGCCUAAAACAUGCAAGUCGAACGAGCACUUCGGUGCGAGUGGCGGACGGCUGAGUAACACGUGGUAACCUACCUGAAGUGGGGGACAACCCGCCGAAAGGCGAGCUAAUACCGCAUACGAUCGCUGGUCUGAGGAUUGGUGAGGAAAGCUGUAAUGGCGCUUUAGGAUGGGCCUGCGGCCGAUUAGCUAGUUGGUGGGUAAAGCCUACCAAGGCGAUGAUCGGUAGCUGGUCUGAGAGGAUGAUCAGCCAGACUGGGACUGCGACACGGCCCAGACCUCGACGGGAGCAGCAGUUAGGACUCGUGGGACAAGUGGACGAAGCCUAGACCCAGCAACGCGCGUGGCGAGAGGCCGUCGGUACGUAAGCUUCGUUUCCGAGGUAAG